AAAAACAAUGAGAGAAUGUCUUACUGAUUCAAGUACAAAGUUCUGACAAGUGAUACAAAACAUGUUCAGUGUGUCUGACAGCUUGCUCUUAACUCUGAA